CCCUUAGAUGUUCUGGGCCGCACGCGUGCUACACUGAUGCAUUCAACGAGUCUAAAACCUGGUCUGAUAGGGCUGGGUAAUCUUCUGAAAGUGCAUCGUGAUUGGGAUAGAUGAUUGCAAUUCUUCAUCUUCAACGAGGAAUGCCUAGUAAACGCAAGUCAUCAGCUUGCAUUGAUUACGUCCCUGCCCUUUGUACACACCGCCCGUCGCUCCUACCGAUUGAAUGAUCCGAUGAAUACCAUGGAUUGAGAGUACGAAUAGGUUCGCUUAUUUCUGCUGCUCGAGAAGUGGAGUAAAUCUUAUCAUUUAGAGGAAGGAGAAGUCGUAACA
rnacentral:rRNA from 1 species